AUUGAACGCUGGCGGCAGGCCUAACACAUGCAAGUCGAACGGUAACAGGAAGUAGCUUGCUACUUUGCUGACGAGUGGCGGACGGGUGAGUAAUGUCUGGGGAUCUGCCUGAUGGAGGGGGAUAACUACUGGAAACGGUAGCUAAUACCGCAUAAUGUCGCAAGACCAAAGCGGGGGACUUUCGGGCCUCGCACCAUCAGAUGAACCCAGAUGGGAUUAGCUAGUAGGUAGGGUAAUGGCUUACCUAGGCGACGAUCCCUAGCUGGUCUGAGAGGAUGACCAGCCACACUGGAACUGAGACACGGUCCAGACUCCUACGGGAGGCAGCAGUGGGGAAUAUUGCACAAUGGGCGCAAGCCUGAUGCAGCCAUGCCGCGUGUAUGAAGAAGGCCUUCGGGUUGUAAAGUACUUUCAGUCAGGAGGAAGGGUGUGAAAUUAAUACUUUCAUGCAUUGACGUUACUGACAGAAGAAGCACCGGCUAACUCCGUGCCAGCAGCCGCCGUAA
rnacentral:rRNA from 1 species